rnacentral:rRNA from 1 species
AGCAGCCGCGGUAAUUCCAGCUCCAAUAGCGUAUAUUAAAGUUGUUGCAGUUAAAAAGCUCGUAGUUGAAUUUCGGGAUCGACGGGUCGGUCGCGCCUCCGGUGUGUACUGGCCCUGUCGGUUUCUCCCUUCUGACGAACUGCGAUGUCAUUAAUUUGGUGUCGUGGGGAAUCAGGACUGUUACUUUGAAAAAAUUAGAAGUGUUUAAAGCAGGCACACGCUUGAAUACAUUAGCAUGGAAUAAUGAAAUAGGACGUUUUGAUCUUAUUUUGUUGGUUUCUAAGAUCGACGUAAUGAUUAAUAGGGAUAGUUGGGGGCAUUAGUAUUCAAUUGUCAGAGGUGAAAUUCUUGGAUUUAUUGAAGACUAACUACUGCGAAAGCAUUUGCCAAGGAUGUUUUCAUUAAUCAAGAACGAAAGUUAGGGGAUCGAAGACGAUCAGAUACCGUCGU